GGGCGUUAAGUUGCAGGGUAUAGACCCGAAACCCGGUGAUCUAGCCAUGGGCAGGUUGAAGGUUGGGUAACACUAACUGGAGGACCGAACCGACUAAUGUUGAAAAAUUAGCGGAUGACCUGUGGCUGGGGGUGAAAGGCCAAUCAAACCGGGAGAUAGCUGGUUCUCCCCGAAAGCUAUUUAGGUAGCGCCUCGUGAAUUCAUCUCCGGGGGUAGAGCACUGUUUCGGCUAGGGGGCCAUCCCGGCUUACCAACCCGAUGCAAACUGCGAAUACCGGAGAAUGUUAUCACGGGAGACACACGGCGGGUGCUAACGUCCGUCGUGAAGAGGGAAACAACCCAGACCGCCAGCUAAGGUCCCAAAGUCAUGGUUAAGUGGGAAACGAUGUGGGAAGGCCCAGACAGCCAGGAUGUUGGCUUAGAAGCAGCCAUCAUUUAAAGAAAGCGUAAUAGCUCACUGGUCGAGUCGGCCUGCGCGGAAGAUGUAACGGGGCUAAACCAUGCACCGAAGCUGCGGCAGCGACGUAUCACUUAAAGCGAUUCAGCGGAUGACGAUUGACGGAGCGAAGCGACG
rnacentral:rRNA from 1 species